CAAAUAAUGUGCAGAUAGGAGUAGCUGCUUUUUCAAAAACUGUUUAUGAAAUAUUUUUACAUGAACUCAGUCUUACACCAGUCAACUUUCCCUAGAAGCCGCUCUUCAGCGUAUAAGUUAUACCGCCAAAUAUAAAAAUACAGGCGACGCUCUAAGAUGGGCACAGGACAACGCUUUUACUAAAGCCGCGGGAAACAGGGAUGAUAUAUUGGAUGUUUUGGUUAUUAUUACUGACGGCAAAUCGACUGAUUCAAUAAAAACGAUUGCUGAAGCUGCUAGAUUACAUAGACAGAAUUUGUUGUUUUUGUCAUUAGAAUUGGUGGUUCCUUGUCCAUACCAGAGCUACAACGGAUAGCAACAGAUGAUAAGCAUGUUAUAGUUGUCUCGGAUUUCAAUACCUUGCAUUCUUCCAUUAUACAAGACGUUAUUCAUGCAACCACAUGUCGAGGUACAGUACAUUUUUUAUUAUAACAAUGGAGGAAAAAACACAUUUGAAAGUUUUUAAAUUCAGGUUUUAGAAAGGAAUUCAUUGGAUUUACAAGACAUUUCGAUUAACUUUUUAAUCUUGAAAAAUAUAAAGAUAAAUAGAUGUGGUAUGAUUGCCAAUGAGACACAUAUCCACCAAAAUAGAUGCAUGUCUAAUGGGGAGGACUUUGUAUUUUUGUUCAAUACUAAAGUCUAAUAUAACAUCAAGAUUUAUUGAUUCAUUGUAAUUGAAAUUUGUGACAGAAUAAUUGAAUACCUCACCUCACCUAUCCUCUUCAUGCCGGUCGGCAUUUAAGGCCCUAAUACAUUUUUUUUUCUUCAUUUUACACGGUCUUUAGCUGCUGUUCUUUCUGUAGAUCAGCUGUUUCCAUCCAAGUGACGUUCUUUCAGUCUCUACAGUUCGUCUCAAGGUGAUCUUGGGACGUCCAACUUUCCUCUUUCCCUCAGGUUUCCAUUUCAGUGCAACUGAGCAUAAACUGUUGGUAUCCAUCAUUAGUACAUGGCCAAUCCAUCUCCAUCGCCUUUCUAUUAUAUGUCAUUUAUCUUUUUUGUACCAGCUUUUAUGUGGAGGUUUUCGUUUGAUAUAGUAUUGGGCUAUCUUAUUUUGAGUAUCUGUCUUAAACAUCUGUUUUGGAAGGUGUUCAAUUUCUUUUUGUUUUGUUCAGUUGUUUUCAAGGUUUUACAUCCAUAACAGUAGGACUGACAUGAUUAAGCUGUUACGGGCAUACGAUACAGUUACAGGGGAAGUGAUGACGUUGCUAACGUAAAUUGGUUUUUUUUUUGCGACGUCAAACGGUGACUUAUCGGGAAAAGAUGCAGUUUUCGGCUGAUUUUUAUCAUUCAAACUGAUUUAACUUAAAAACGAGUUCAUGGACCCCUCUUUUUUAAAAUGACAUUUGGUUUGAUUGCGUUAGAAGAUAAUGUGUAGUACAAUUUUCAUAAAACGUAAAUUGUGCAAUUCUUUUAAAUUUGAUUAAUAUACAGCAAAAAAUGACGGGUUUUUCCUACAUUCAUGAUCAUUUGAUUAAAUUACAAAUAAUUUAACAAAAAAACAGAUCGUGUUUAUCUUUUAAAACAAAAAAAAAUAUGUAUUUCUAUCGAAAGGAAAGAUACGUCCACAAAUCCGUAUUUUUAGGAAAUAUCUGAAAUUUGAACGUCAAUUUACUCAAAAAGUCACAUGAAGGUAUAUUUUUUUAUUACAUAUUUGAUUUAAUCAGGUAAAAAAUAGCCUACAUGCAAAUUUUCAUCAAAAGUUAAAUGCGGGAUCAAAAUUGUAUCGUAUGCUCUUAAAAAACCUGACCUUUGUUUUAAAUUACAGUACCAAGAUCUCCUUUUUUUAGCCUGCUUAAUUUGCCUUCGGGUUUCUUCAACCUGUUGUCCAUGUCAUUGUCACAGCCACCUUUUGGUGUUACUAUUCCUCCUAGGUAAGUGAAGGUAUCACCAUUCUAUAGGUCUUUCUCAUUUAACUUCACUGGGUUGUUAUUUGUGGUGUUUUCAUUACUUUUGUUUUAGAGGUGUUUAUCUUUAGUCCUAUUUUGAUGGCAUUUUCUUGAAGUUUAUCUGUUUUCAGUUGUAUGCGUUGGAAUUUGGAAGACAUUAGUGCUAGGUCGUCAGCAAAAUCAAGGUCUUCUAGUUUGGUGGUAAAUUUCCAUCUUAUUCCUGUUUCGUUAUCUUUAAUUGUUUGUUUAAUGACAUAGUCAAUGGCUAACAGAAAUAAGAAAUCAGACAUCAUACAUCCUUGUUUUACUCUAGUCUUUACUUUAAACCAUUCCGAUUGUAUUCCUUCUUCUAUGACUGCACUCUCAAAAAAGAGUUUAAUAACUGUGAUGAGUUUGUCUGGGAUGUGGUAAGUUUUUAAGAUGGACCAUAAGCUUUCCCUGUGGAUGGAAUCAAACGCCUUUUCAUAGUCUACGAACUUGAUGUACAAAGGAGUAUUCCAUUUCAAACAUUGUUCUAUGAUGUUUCUGAAAGUGAAAAGUUGUUCGGUAGUGCUUUAACCCCUUCUGAAGCAAAGUUGUUCUUGUCUCAGCUCUUCAUCUAUUCCUUCUUGUAUUCUUGUAUACACUCAAACAAUUCAGUUAACAAGGAUUUGUCAAUAAAUUGAAGAGAAGCAACAUUUGCAAACAUACAAAAAAGUAUCAUAUACAAAUAUAAAAAUCGAAAAACAAAAAUUAUCAAACAUUUACAAUGUUCAGUUUAUUUGUAGUAUUAUUUCUCAAUAUUUAUUGUUUUUUCUCAUCAUUCUUAAGAUAUUAGCUGUGUCUGUUGAUUGUAUAAAUACACUAAGAUAGAGAACUUUUACAAUUUAAGUUCCUACAACAACCAAGGUUCCUGUUAUGUACUGU
rnacentral:lncRNA from 1 species